UAACCUGCCCAAGAGAUCGGGAUAACACCUGGAAACAGAUGCUAAUAACGGAUAACAACAGAUGAUGCCUAUCAACUGUUUAAAAGAUGGUUCUGCUAUCACUCUUGGAUGGACCUGCGGUGCAUUAGCUAGUUGGUAGGGUAACGGCCUACCAAGGCGAUGAUGCAUAGCCGAGUUGAGAGACUGAUCGGCCACAUUGGGACUGAGACACGGCCCAAACUCCUACGGGAGGCAGCAGUC
rnacentral:rRNA from 1 species